AAUGAUUAAGACCUUCUUGGGGUUUUCAAGGAGCUCAAGGUCAUCUAAAACUAAUGAAGAGGCUUAUAAUGAGCAUGGUUAUAAUAUAACACUGAAUAUAAUAUACCAUCCUAGAAACGUAAGGUUCCAAGAGAUUAAUGGAAGGAGCAGUCAUGUCCAUUAAGUCUAUAAAAGUUACGAUGUGCUGUAUACGAAUAUUGUAAGAUGAACUGUGUGAGAGGACAGAAAUCCCAUGUUAGUCAGAGUCAUAAACAAUUCCCAGGUAUAAUUCUCAGCAGGACCAAUGUGACUUCUGGUAAAUCAUAUAGCCAUGUCUUUAAUUGAACCAUGGAAGGAAGCCCCUAUGAGUAAGAUGCAGACUUUAAAGGAAAAACAGACGCUAGAUGGAUGACCUGACCCCUGUUGUCUGUUCUCAGUAAACAUUGCCCUUAAAGCAAAUACUGCUAUCGCAAGCUGUCAGCCACCAAGCUGAGGCAGGGGAGAUGUUCAGAAAGAGAUCUGCUCUCCAUGUGACACUUUGGAACUCAAGGAUCUCUCUAGAAUAGUCCUAGGAAUAAAUGGAUACACCUUGUUCUUUGUACUUUGAUUGCAGAAACCAGCUUGUCACCUGCCACCAGCUGGACUCAGGGCAUCUUGGUACUGCCUGCCAUCCAGACAUCUGAGACGACGCUAAUUACUCGCUCUGUCCUCUGCUCCCAUUACCAAGCCCUGCUUUCUGUUCAGGCUGGAGCAUAGUGGCACUAUCUUAGUUUCCUGCAACCUCAAACUCCUGGGCUCAAGUGUCAAGCGGUCCUCCUGCCUCAGCCUCCAGAGUAGUUGGGACUACAGAGAGGAGACUUGCUGUGUUAUUCGGGCUGGUCUUCAAUUCCUGGUCUCAAGCAAUUCUCCUGCCUCAGCUUUCCAAACUCUUGGUGUUAGAGGUGUGAGCCACUGCCCUCAGCUGAAAGGUAAUAUUUCAUAUGCUCCAAUGUCAUUGAGCAAUUUAAACCAGUUUAAAAAAAAAUUUUUUUUUUUUUGAGACAGACUCUCACUAUGUCACCCUAAGUAGAGUGUUGUCGCGUCACAGCUCACAGCAACCUCCAACUCC